rnacentral:rRNA from 1 species
CAGUAGUACUUCUUUUUUAGAAAACUACUUUCCAUGGCGGCAUUCCAUCUUAUUAGAGGAACUUGUUUAUUAAUCGAUAAUCCACGAUAAUUUUCACUAAUUUUUAAAAAUUUAUAUACCGCCAUCUAAAGAAUUUAUUUUCCAAUCUUAUUCUUAAUAAAAAUUAAAAAGUUAGGUCAAGGUGUAAUCCAUUUAUUAGUUCCUAAUGAGUUACUUUAAAUAAAUUUAUAAAUUAUUCACCAAAACUGAUUAUGAAAAAGAAUUUAAUAGUAAUUAAGAAAUAAUAUUUCUUAUUGAAACAGAUAAAUAAUGUGC